CUUGUAGACCUCCUAGGCCCAUUGUUAGCCCAUCGAAAAGGCGUACUGCCUACGCUUUUUGGAUGGCGGUGGGUUUCCUGUCUGACUAUGUAAACGCUACUUCCUUUUAGCGAUUUUCAAAUUGAUACCCACGAUUUCAGUUCUCGAAUUGAUCCUCUAGAUAGCUGGUGAGAGAAGGAUUUGGAACCCGCUUACGGACCCAAGUCGAUGAUUCGGACUCUUCAAGCUCGUCUCUACUCUGUCUCCAAAUUCCAAAUCCACAACGCGCGUGUUCGAUCGCAUAAGGUUUACGGUUGCCAUGGAAGCUCAAGUAGUCUCAUAGCUGGUAUACUUCAGGGCCACAAAGGACUGUGGUCAAAUAAAAACUCUUGUAAUGGGAUUAAAUCUUUUUGUACUGCUCAAGGUGCGUUUAGAUCCCUGACAGAAUAGUUUUUGGUGGCCUAUUGAGAUGCAAGCGAACUACAGUUUUGAUUGUGUGCAAUUUUAACAAUAUACGGAUCAUGACAUACUGACUGUACACACAGCAAAAUGGCUUUCUUCCUGUCAAUUUUUUCUGACGGUGAUCAGAAUGUUAAAUUGCUUGAUGUUCAGUUGUUUUGGAUCCUCUGCUUACGUGCAGGCUCUGUGAAAAUGCAAAUUGUGUGUAUAUUAGUGAAUAUUGAUCCAACCAAUUGUGGAAUUCUAUUUUUUUCAAGUGAAAUGUAUUUG